CGAUAUCUAAACUACAAGGGGGAGAGCCCAAUCCCUCACUUUGAAGGAAGGGGGUGAGGGGAGAAGUGGAGAGACCACUGUUCUUCCGCUCCUAUCCCGUCAUUUCUUCCUCCCUUCUCCUCUCUUACCCCAUUUUCAGUGGCAAAAAGUUUUCCCUUUUGUUUUGAUUUUGUUAUGCUUUUCCUCCACUCAUCAUAAGCGAUUGCGUCUCGACGUCAGAUCUCCACCACCACCACCAUCCUCUGCUAAUUGGUUCCACGGGUAGCUCUUUCGUCGUUUAUCCUCGGUGGCACUCUCUAGUAUGAGGUUGCUUUCAAAGUGCAUUUGGCACUUAUAGCUUGGAUAAGGUAGCUCUUCAUGCGUUGGUGGCUUGCCCACCACCAAUUUCUGUUAUUUUGUCUUGCAUUUGUUUGAACUCUAUGAGUUCACUAUAUGAUGUAACUAGCUUUGGCUUUCUAUUAAUAAACUUGUUAUAAGGGGAAGGGGAUUUCUCACACACACACACACUACCAAGGUGUCAUGAGGAUUCUGAUGUAGAACAGAUGGCAGAUUUUAUCGCGGUUGAGCUAGAAAAAGGACGUAGCGGGAAUAUGCGGUUUUGUCGUCCAAGCUCCGAUUAGGACGCAGAAUACCUUUUCGGAAAGGGAACGAAGCCACGAGUGUAACUCACAGCUUUGCUGUGACAUAAGGUGGAUUUUGGCAUUCUGAGGUCGUUUAGCCUUCCAAAACUGCAGUUAAAGUUUGGUAGUUAAUUUUCCAAUAAAUUCUGUUUUGGACAGUUUAGGAGUUACGUUAUUAAGACUCCAAAUUAAUCCUGUUUUUUCAGUUUUAUGUAAUAACUCCCCUAGUAGUUGAAGGGUUGAGGGUUGUUGAGAAAUGUGUAUUUAGACAGGUUUGUCUAAUGUAUCUGGAACUCAACUUUUUAAUCAUAUUAUUCCAAGAGAGCUUCUCUUAAUUUUCUGGUGGAAUCCAGUUUUAUUGCUACUCACGGUUUCGCUUGAAACCUUUGUUUCUUGUGCUGCGUCAGAUUCGAACCUAAUACCACUUGUCUACAAGUCAAAAACAUUUUCAACUAGCUAGACCUCGCACAUUCGUCAAUUCUUUAUCUUCCACAAUUCACAUAAAUGCCAUUCUAAAACAUCCUCAACCAGCAUGAAACAUGAGAUAGGAAAUUCUGAUGCAAUUCAACUGUUGAUCAGUUCACAUAUAUGCAUGUACUUAGGAAGUCAAUACAAUGGGUGAUAUAUAUAGGUUAUUGAUUUUAUGAAAGGUAGAUUUGCUUUGGGUAGUUUUAUCUUCUUAAGCAGAUCACAACCACUCGGCUUUCAAAAGUGGAAAGAUAACAAACUACACCAAAAAUUAGUCUUAAACAAAUUAAUGAAAGGAAGUUCCUUACAAGAAAAUGCUAUGGUGCAUAUUGCAUAUAUACUAACACAAUUUGGUGCACUAGUACAGGUGGUUUUCUUUUGCAACUGAUUUUGACCAUUAGAUGAAAUAUCAGCUUACAGCUUUUUGGGAAGACAAAAUAUCUGCUUACAGUUUCAUAGAGAUUUAGAGUAAAUUGACAAAGAUGGUUGAAGCCACGUGGUCUAUGCACUUGGACAUAACAAGCGG
rnacentral:lncRNA from 1 species